GACGAACGCUGGCGGCGUGCUUAACACAUGCAAGUCGAACGGAAAGGCCCUGCUUUUGUGGGGUGCUCGAGUGGCGAACGGGUGAGUAACACGUGAGUAACCUGCCCUUGACUUUGGGAUAACUUCAGGAAACUGGGGCUAAUACCGGAUAGGAGCUCCUGCUGCAUGGUGGGGGUUGGAAAGUUUCGGCGGUUGGGGAUGGACUCGCGGCUUAUCAGCUUGUUGGUGGGGUAGUGGCUUACCAAGGCUUUGACGGGUAGCCGGCCUGAGAGGGUGACCGGCCACAUUGGGACUGAGAUACGGCCCAGACUCCUACAGGAGGCAGCAGUGGGGAAUAUUGCACAAUGGACGGAAGCCUGAUGCAGCAACGCCGCGUGCGGGAUGACGGCCUUCGGGUUGUAAACCGCUUUCGCCUGUGACGAAGCGUGAGUGACGGUAAUGCGUAAAGAAGCACCGGCUAACUACGUG
rnacentral:rRNA from 1 species